GCGUUUUAUAUUUCACUAGGGUUUAUAAUUUUUGCCUCCUGUUAAGAUCCAUCCUUCUUCCAUUUUGCAAUAGUGUCGGCCCAGAGCCAGAGACCUAGUAGCAUGUCUUCAUGGCCUGCCCCCAGGCCUUGCCGCUUCUCGAUUUCUUAUCUUUCCCAACAACUGGCCCAUCCUCUCAUCUUCUGCAUUUCUUUCAUACCCACGAGUCCGCAACACUAACCACUCCCAAUACCGCCCCUUCCCCUUCUAUCUGUUUGCCCUAUGGUCUCUCUCCGCUGGACUGUGGCAUGAUCGAUUAAUCGCUCUAAAUCAUCCCUCUAGUUAUCACUCUUGCUCAACCUUUUGAUCUUUGUUGUUGUCACUCUACCUUUUGAUCUCUAAUACCAAGUGAAAUGUUUUUUUAUUCAUCUAGUACCAAUUGAGAGAAAAGAAAGGGUGAGAGGAAGAGAAAUGGUACAGUGAAAGAUUGAAGAGAAACAACUUACAUAGGAAUUUUUAUUUGAUAAAACCGAUGCACAUAUAAUAGUAUAAUAAUGUACAUACACCUGUUUCAUAGUAUAAUUUUUCUCAAGGCAUUGGUUUCAAUGAACCAACAACAUCAAAACCAACUGAAAAAAGAGUGGCAAAUUGAACUUAGAAAAUACACUCGCGCAAUCUACAAUUAUUGGAAUUUUUCUUUGCUCAAUUAGGCUUUUUU
rnacentral:misc_RNA from 1 species